GACGAACGCUGGCGGCGUGCUUAACACAUGCAAGUCGAACGGAAAGGCCCUGCUUGCAGGGUACUCGAGUGGCGAACGGGUGAGUAACACGUGGGUGAUCUGCCCUGCACUUCGGGAUAAGCCUGGGAAACUGGGUCUAAUACCGGAUAGGAGCCAUUUUUAGUGUGAUGGUUGGAAAGUUUUUUCGGUGUAGGAUGAGCUCGCGGCCUAUCAGCUUGUUGGUGGGGUAAUGGCCUACCAAGGCGGCGACGGGUAGCCGGCCUGAGAGGGUGGACGGCCACAUUGGGACUGAGAUACGGCCCAGACUCCUACGGGAGGUAGCAGUGGGGAAUAUUGCACAAUGGGCGCAAGCCUGAUGCAGCGACGCCGCGUGGGGGAUGACGGCCUUCGGGUUGUAAACUCCUUUCGCUAGGGACGAAGCUUUUUGUGACGGUACCUAGAUAAGAAGCACCGGCUAACUACGUG
rnacentral:rRNA from 1 species